rnacentral:rRNA from 1 species
CCUACGGGAGGCAGCAGUGGGGGAUAUUGGACAAUGGGGGGAACCCUGAUCCAGCGACGCCGCGUGAGUGAAGAAGUAUUUCGGUAUGUAAAGCUCUGUCAGCAGGGAAGAAAGAAAUGACGGUACCUGACCAAGAAGCCCCGGAUCACUCCGUGCCAGCCGCCGUGGUAAUACGUAGGGGGCCCGCGUUAUCCGGAAGUACGGGGUGUAAAGGGAGCGUCGACGGUUAGGUACGUCUGGAGUGAAGGGCCGGGGCGCAACCCCGGGACUGCGCUGGAAACUAUUGAGCUUGGAUGCAGGGGAGGUAAGCGGAAUUCCUAGUGUAGCGGUGAAAUGCGUAGAUAUUAGGAGGAACACCAGUGGCGAAGGCGGCUUACUGGACUGUAACUGACGUUGAGGCUCGAAAGCGUGGGGAGCAAACAGGAUUAGAUACCCUUGUAGUC